rnacentral:rRNA from 1 species
AUUACCGCGGCUGCUGGCACAGAGUUAGCCGGUGCUUAUUCUGUCGGUAACGUCAAAACAAUCACGUAUUAGGUAACUGCCCUUCCUCCCAACUUAAAGUGCUUUACAAUCCGAAGACCUUCUUCACACACGCGGCAUGGCUGGAUCAGGCUUUCGCCCAUUGUCCAAUAUUCCCCACUGCUGCCUCCCGUAGG